rnacentral:rRNA from 1 species
AACUUUUAACAACGGAUCUCUUGGUUCUGGCAUCGAUGAAGAACGCAGCGAAAUGCGAUAAGUAAUGUGAAUUGCAGAAUUCAGUGAAUCAUCGAAUCUUUGAACGCACAUUGCGCCCCUCGGUAUUCCGGGGGGCAUGCCUGUUCGAGCGUCAUU